AACGAACGCUGGCGGCAUGCCUAACACAUGCAAGUCGAACGAGAUCUUCGGGUCUAGUGGCGCACGGGUGCGUAACGCAUGGGAAUCUGCCCUUUGGUUCGGAAUAACAGUUGGAAACGACUGCUAAUACCGGAUGAUGACGAAAGUCCAAAGAUUUAUCGCCAGAGGAUGAGCCCGCGUAGGAUUAGCUAGUCGGUGUGGUAAAGGCGCACCAAGGCGGCGAUCCUUAGCUGGUCUGAGAGGAUGAUCAGCCACACUGGGACUGAGACACGGCCCAGACUCCUACGGGAGGCAGCAGUGGGGAAUACUGGACAAUGGGCGAAAGCCUGAUCCAGCAAUGCCGCGUGAGUGAUGAAGGCCUUAGGGUUGUAAAGCUCUUUUACCCGGGAUGAUAAUGACAGUACCGGGAGAAUAAGCUCCGGCUAACUCCGUGCCAGCCGCCGCAGUAACAC
rnacentral:rRNA from 1 species